GGAUCAUAGAGAAGAUUCAUCUCUCACUAUGAAUCUGUUUGCAUCCACGGAUCUGCACUGUGGCUGAACAUCUUUCCAAGAAAAAGACCUUGAACUCUGUGAAGGCGUAUACAACAUGUGUGAUGGAUGUGGUCCUCAUGGGGACCAGAGUUUCGGAAGGAACAAUGUGGGGCAUGAGAGCAAUGGGAGCUCCUGAUAAGAGAAAAAGGAGCCUGAUCUGGCAGGGUGAAGAAGCACAUGUGGGAAGGAGCCCUCAGCAUCAGCCAGAACAUGUUGGAAACACAUCAUUUCUUCAAUGCUCUCAGGAAUCGUCUCUCCACUACACGAAAUCGACAGGAAUGGCCAGCAAGUGUUUGGGAACAGAGAGGUACAUCAGUUGCUAUACCAUCUCCAGCAUCACGUGAGAGAAAAGAGCU